GCGGGAGCCCGGGGAGGCGGCGGCUGAGGGCGCGGCCGAGGAGGCGCGGCGGAUGGAGCAGCACUGGGGCUUUGGCCUGGAGGAGCUAUACGGGCUGGCGCUGCGCUUCUACAAAAGUAAGCAGGUCACUCGCCUCUGCGGGGCUGCGGGCCGGCCAUGCCUGCCCCACCCACCCGUGCUAGGCCGGGGUGACCGGAACGCCGUUCCGUCCUUGGUGGCACCCGGAGUUUGUCACUACCGGUCUGGCCCUUGGUCACACCCCUAAGAGACCUAGAACCCUGGUUUAGCAGCCCGCGUCGCCUGAUAUUGCUGAGGCGUUACACCUGGUUUAAGUUUUCUGGUUUCCAUGGGCUAGAGUGGGACAAGAGCGCGCGCUUCCCGGGGCUCCUAUUCUGGGAUGGAUUUUUUUCCUUUUUGUUAUUUAUCGGUUUUUCUCCCAGUUUUCCACGGCUCAUAACAACAUUAAAGCGAUUUUAAAAAACUAUCUUAGUGGAAGAAAAUGUAUUGGGUCCCACGCUUACUUUUUCUAGCCUCAGAAACCGUGUAUAGGAUGUGAUCUUUCGGCGGUAGGGAUGUGGCGAAGGAUAAAAUAAAAUACUAAGUUCAUUUAUUCCCUUUUGCUUAAGUAAAUAAUGGCCACUGUGUUCUAGUAACUUCUAAGUGGCUAGGAAAUUCUACCUUGUAAGUGAAUAAUGAAGACUAAGGCAAGAAGGUCUCGUUC
rnacentral:lncRNA from 1 species